AGAACGCAGCGAAAUGCGAUACGUCUUGCGACUUGCAGAAUCCCGUGAAUCAUCGAAACUUUGAACGCACCUUGCGCUCCCGGGAUAUGCCUGGGAGCAUGCUUGUCGGGGAGGAGGAGG
rnacentral:rRNA from 1 species